rnacentral:lncRNA from 1 species
CUUUAAGGGGAGGAUUUGAAAAGUUGUUGGCUCCCAUUUGAAAUUUUCUUGUAUUUAAAUUGUGGCCGACCUCUUGGACUUUGAAUUUGGGUGACGUGUCAACUUGUAUGAGGUGGCAUGGUGAUUGGUUCUUUUGAUUUUGACUCUUCCAUUUGGCAUUAUCCUCUUGGUUGAGAUGAUUGCUGAUGUGGUGUUGAGGUGGCAUCUGGUUGAGAUGAUUGCUGAUAUGGUGUUGAGGUGGCGUCCCAAUAGCUGUCACAUAACAUGUUGCAUAGUGAUUGGUUCUUCUAAUGAGGUGGCAUGACGUUGCAUUGGUUUCUUUGAUGAGAUGAUGUGGUCGGCUCCUUAUGCUUGACUUCAUCUUGGUUGGCGUGCUUCCAUUGGUUGGAGUGGUGGUGAGGUAGCCAGUUGAUGUUGAUGUGGAUGCCGAGGUGGUGCUCCAAGGGUGUGCAAAGGUGGUGGUAGAAACAUGCAACAUGUCCUGACUUGGCUUGCUUUCUGACUUAUUGAGGCUUGCUUUCUGACUUAUUGAUUUUAUUUACAGGACUCGAUCAAAGCCACAGUGACCUUGAGUUAAUUGAUUGGAGUCUUUUCUGGAUUCUGGUGCCCGCACCAC